AACUAGAGAAGAUGAAAGAACAUCCUUUUAUGAUAUGUUUUGAGUAGCUAAACAGGUAGGCAGAUAAAUAAAAGAAAGUGGAUUGCUUCAGGAAGCUGUUUUGCUUCAGAAUGUGCCUUUUUGGGCUAAAAAUAAUUUAUUGUAAAUAAAAGGAAAAGAUAAACUGUCAAUGUAGAUGCAUCAUUUGAAAAAGAAACGAAUUUUCUUUGGAAAGGAGAAGAUAAAUCAAAGUGCUUCUUCUUAUAGCUCGUCAAGAUUUAAGAAAAAUUAUUUCCCCAUACAAAUAUUGAGUUUUGUUUUUCUUUUCUAACAUGUCUUGAAUUAAACAAAACCUGUUAACAAGAUUGUAAUGAAAAUUCUGCGUGAUCUAAACAUCCAAAGAGAGAAAUUCUAGAGUGAUUGUAUUUGGGGACCGCAAAGAUUUUAUUGCUGGAUAUCACUGAAGUAGAGGCUGUAAAAGCAGUGAGACUCUACCUGGGGCCGGGUGGCAGGGAAGACUUUAGAAAACAUUUCUCCAAUUCAAAACAAAAAAUAAACAAAAAAACUGCAUAAAAGGUUGAGCUGAGCUUUUUCUUUUUUUUUUCAGGAUAUAUUUUCAAAUGUAUAGAUUUUGAAGGCAAAUUGCCAAUUCACGAAUGUAUGGAAAUAAAACACAAGAGCAAAUGCCAAAUGCCUGUGGUUUAUGUGUGCUUCGUAAAAUCACGGGGUUUUUACAUUCGUGUGGGUAGUGGAGAGAGAGAAAAUGAUAGAUAAAAACCCGUUUGGGUUUGUCAUGGAUUUCCAUCCACGACAGACAUUUUCUUAAGCUUCCAAAUUCUUCAUACAAACACUUGUCUAAUAUUUUCAGCUUCUAACACGGCAGCAGACAUUUCCUUAUUUUGCUUCUCCGAAGUGCUUGGGAAAAGAUAACCCAAGAGAACCUUCUAAGUGAAGCCUGUCCUUGCUGCUUGACCUUAGGAAACCAUGGGAAGUGUGUGGCCAUCUCUGCAAGGAUGCUGGGUGUGAAGAGUUCUAGAGUCUGUGUGGUGAUCAGUACCAUUUCCAGAGUCUGUGUUGUGAUCAGUACCAUUUCCUUACUGUCAAAAACGGCCGCGGGCAGAAAAUUACCAUCUUCCCUAUUGUACCUGAGGAUGAACACAAAAACCCUACAUAGCUCCAUUUUCUUAUAUUAGCAAAAGUUCUGGAAAAUAUUACAAAUUAUUCAUGGAAGAAAUGAAUGACAUUUUCAAAUACUAGGUAUAGACACCUGCAAAU
rnacentral:lncRNA from 13 species